GUGGCAUCUAACUGGUGCAUGUGAAGGAAAAUCCUGGUUCCCUCAAUGCCAGUGCUCUGUUUGGAUGCCAGCAGGAGACUCGCAUAUGUCAGCUGCAGCUGGAAACGGAAUGAUGAGCUACAGAAACCUUUGCAAUGCCAGGCAGUGAUGUUCCUGUGUGACCCUUUCAACAUGCUGCAGGGAGCACACGUACCAUGGCCCUGGAUUCAACCUCAGCACAAUGGACUGAUUUAAAACUGCCAUUUUCUAGUAGAAAGUUCAACCUGGAGACUGCCUGACCACGCUGGGAUCUGCAGAGAAGUGUAGCACAGCAGGCUCUCCCUCCUCUCAAUCUGCAAGGGAGUACACCCUGUCCUGCUCCACAGAAAUCAAGAAAGAACCUGUCCAGCAUGGGAACUUAAAGUUCAUAAAUAAAGCUCUGAGGCAGGGAUGGCCCUACCCUUGCUUCCUG